AACCAGGACUCUUUCUCCUUCUCCUAUUAGACAUUAAGAUGGAGCCUCUGGCUUGCUAAGGAAUCUCCUUUGCAUGGAUCAUUGAUUUAGAUAUAGAAGAGACCUCAGAAGUCAUCUAGUUCAAGUGCUUUAUUCUAUAGGUGAAGAAGAUGAGAAUAAGCCUGGAGAACUGAAGAGAAUUGUUCAAAAUUACAGUCAGCAUUCCAGGAAUAAAGGAAAAGUAACUUGCAGAAAGUAA
rnacentral:lncRNA from 1 species